GACACGAAGCGGUGGAGCAUGUGGUUAAUUCGGCGCAACGCGCAGAACCUUACCUGGCUUGACAUCCCGAUCGUACUUUCUGGAAACAGUUAGGUCAGUUCGGCUGGAUCGGUGACAGGUGCUGCAUGGCUGUCGUCAGCUCGUGUCGUGAGAUGUUGGGUUAAGUCCCGCAACGAGCGCAACCCUUGUCCUUAGUUGCCAGCAUUAAGUUGGGCACUCUAAGGAGACUGCCGGUGUUAAACCGGAGGAAGGUGGGGAUGACGUCAAGUCCUCAUGGCCCUUAUGUCCAGGGCUACACACGUGCUACAAUGGCCGGUACAAAGGGCUGCAAUACCGCAAGGUGGAGCGAACCCCAAAAAGCCGGUCUCAGUUCGGAUUGGAGUCUGCAACUCGACUCCAUGAAGUUGGAAUCGCUAGUAAUCGCGGAUCAGCAUGCCGCGGUCGAAUACGUUCCCGGGCCUU
rnacentral:rRNA from 1 species